rnacentral:tRNA from 1 species
GCGCCUGUAGCUCAGUUGGAUAGAGCGUCUGGCUACGAACCAGAAGGUCGGGAGUUCGAAUCUCUCCAGGCGCACCA